UGAGCCGGCCGGGCGAUCGCGUCGCCGCAAACGGGCAGCAUGAAUGCUGCUACGUGGGCGCCGAGGAAAGUCCGGACUCCACAGAGCACGGUGGUUGCUAACGGCAACCCGGGGUGACCCGCGGGCAAGUGCAACAGAAAGUAGACCGCCUAGUGCCUCCGCUUGCGUGUUUGUCCAAGUUGAGGCCCUAAGGUAAGGGUGAAACGGUGCGUUAAGAGCGCACCAGCACCGUCAGCGAUGGCGGUGGCUGGGUAAACCCCACCGGGAGCAAGGCAUCACGGCUCUGCCACGAUGCAGGGCCCGAUCAGGCGUUUUAAGGCUGCUCGCUCGAGCCUGAAGGUAGCUGCUGGAACCAACUGGCAACGGUUGGUCUAGAUGGAUGGUCGCCGCGCGGUAUCCUCACUGGCUGGGGUGCUGCGGUUAGACAGAAUCCGGCUUAUAGGUCGGCUCAUUCG
rnacentral:RNase_P_RNA from 1 species